rnacentral:lncRNA from 1 species
AGAAGGCUCUUUUCAUUGUAAGUACUACUAUGGAUAUUCAAGGAAAUUCCCCUUGGAAUGGUAGAAUACAUAUUGAAUAUUGAAGCACAAAAUAGCACCCCCUGGCACGCACGCCUUGAUUAUUUACGAAGGAAGCAGGACUCGAACACAUGCGAAUAACAUGGUUGAUCAAGUAGAGCCAUAUGUCAUUGAGAACACCUGAUUGCAUUUGAAGCUAUAAACACAUAGUUGUUGAGUGCCAUGUCAUGGAUUUUAUAGCUUUUCUGUGUGUGUUUUCUUACCCCUACUUUGAAGUGCAAUUGUAUUUUUGCCUUCGUUUUUCAACUUUGUGUUUUUGCCUUUGCUAUUUACAACUCAACAUGAUUUUGCCCUUGAUUUUUGUACAUUCCCCCCCACA